AGAUUGCAAAAUGGCGAGGGGGGAGGUGACACCAAGCUCGAUCAGAAACUAUGCCACUGGUGAAGAGGUAUAUUGAGCCCUGCGUGGCCCAGUGAGGUUACUAGAGAAUUGGAAGAGUCUCAAAUCAGCAUCCUGCACAUGGUUAUCAAACCAUUGUGAAGUCUUAGUAAGUGGUCAGUGGCUCUGGUGGGCUUGCCCAGUUAGUGUCUUAACAGGCACUAGGCAGUUACUUGAUAUUUUCCCAUUAUGAUAUGAAAAGUUUUUUGUUUUUUGUUUUUUUAGGGCUGUACCCGUGGCAUAUGGAGGUUCCCAGGCUAGGGUUCAAAUUGGAGCUGUAGCUAUAUGCAGGCCUACACCACCCACAGCUAUAGCAACUUGGGAUCCGAGCUGCGUCUGCAACCUACGCCACAGCUCACGAGAGUGCUGGAUCCUUAACCCACUGAGUGAGGCCAGGGAUUGAACCUGUGUCCUCAUGGAUACUAGUUGUGUUCUUAACCCACUGAGCCACAAUGGGAACUCCAAAAAACAGUCUUUAUUUCAGACUAGAGAGUGAUGAGCCUAAUCUCUCUCUUUCCCCGUCUCCCAUUUUUGCAGAUGAUAUCUUGCCCACCAUAAUAGUUGGUGUAGAAAAUGGAUUUGAAUCCAAGCCCAAUAUUGUUUCUUCCACCUAGUGCUUCCUCUAGAUUCCACCUAAGUCCAAGGAGGCGAUGUGAGACAGAAACAUUUUUAUUCCACAUGGAAAGAUUAUAAUAGCCUCUGACAUUGUGCUCCUCUGAUGAAGGAAAUGUCCAUGGUAUAAAUUUUUAUUGUGCAUAAAAUCACCUGGGAAGCUUGUUAAAAAUGCAGAUUCCUAGGCAGCUAGAAGCCUUGUCAUUGGUCCAGAGCAACAUGAAGACCUACUUGUCACUUACACUGAGGCUUCCUGCCCAGUGGGUUCACCAGCAAGCCAGAAGGAAGCAUCACUGCCAUGGAUGUCCUUGUGAGGCAGUUGUGAAGCCUUGGUCUUCAGCUUCCAUUUGACUUUCCAUCUUGUCCACUGAGGAUAGCAGAGUUAAGUCAGGAAAAGAAAAUGGUUGUCCACAGAGGGAGAACUGAUCACUGUCUGAUCUUCAAAGAUGCUUUUCUGGCCGUGGUUGGGGCUCUUAGUGCUCACUGCCUGGACAGAGACCUGUUUCAACAGGGAGAGCUUUAGAAACAACUUGUCAAGUUUUCACCACAAAUACCAUUGGAGUUACAAUUGGAGUCUCACUGAAUUAUAGAGUAAUUUUUGGAGAGCUAUCAUCUUUAUAAUCUUCUCAUACAUGAAUGUGGAGUUGCUGGUAGAAGACUUCAUGAAGGAGAGAAGAAAAGGAAAAAAUCAGAGGAUGACUACAGCCUCCUUCAUCUCAGCUUUUCAAAGCAUUACUCAACAGAGGGAUCACUCUCUUGAAUACUCUCCAGACCACAGGCCAUCAGUCUAUUACAGGCUCUAACUGGGAGGAGCCUUAUUGUGAAUGAAGCUUCGGUGGGUGCUAGGAGUAACACCGUGUUUCUCUGGAUAUGAGAAGAAUGGAGGGCAGAGAGCAAGGGAAGGAAGCUAUGAAAUAUUGGAGUAACAAAUGCUUGACGUUUUAGUGGGUAUUGGACCUAGAAGCCUAUAUGAUUGAAGGAAGCAAACCUGGAGAGGUCUGAUGUUUGUGAGUGAAGAUAGGAGUGAACUCCUUAUUGCAAUUAAAAAUGGAGUGAGGGGGAGGAAAAAAAUGACAGAAAUCAUAAGAUCCAUUACUUCAGUGAAGGAAGCACUGAGACUUGCUUCAUAAACCUGUAAUUUUUAAAGGUAGAUUGAAGAUAAGUUGUUGUGCUGCACUAUUUCUAUUCCUACCCGUGAGAGUUACUGCCAGCCACUCUUCUCAGGUAGAUCUGCCUUUAUGGAAAUUUCUGUUGACCCACGUAAAGAAACAACCCAGAAAAACAUUUGCAACAUUGAAGAACUCUGGUUCAGUGACAGGGUGUUAAAGGAGUCGAGGAUAGAGGAAAUAGCUCAAGUAGUACCAAAUAGCUCAGGUUGUUUUUUUUUUUUUCUUUUUAAUAGGAUGAUUGGGCCAGAGACAGUGGGCAGAAUGACUUCAGGCAACCCCAAACACCAGAUAUGGCAUAAGGAAACAGUUCAAGGAAAAGGUCAAUCCUUGGACCUAGUAUUUGUGAUGCAAUAUCUUAAAUUAAAAGGAAGAGCUGCUUUGGAGAAGGGUUUUAAAAGAUUGUAUUUCAUAGAAAGAAGAAAGAUUUGAGGAGAAACUUCCAAUUAUAUAAGAUGGGCAUUAUAACUUUUAAAGACAUCUGUUGCCUGCAUGGGUCAUAGAGAUUGAUACCAGUAUCAGCCUGUGGCUGACUAGGCCAGUUUAAGUGGUUUCCUGUUCGAAGAGAGAUGCUGCCAUUCUCUCACUUUGGCAGGUAUUCACCUGCAAUGAGUCCAGUACCUGGAGGAGCAAGAAAAAAACAAGCAUCCAGGGGGACAAUAGUAUAGCCUUCUGAGUUAAGAUAGCAACUGAAAAGAUCAUGGGAUUGGCUGCACUGGGCUGGGCUUGUUUGUUUUUUCAAAAUAAAAAAGUUUUCUUUUUGAUGACAAAAGUAAGAGAUGAUCAUUCUUUAAAAAUAAAGUGAAAAG
rnacentral:lncRNA from 1 species